GACGUAGGGUCCGAGCGUUGUCCGGAGUUACUGGGCGUAAAGGGCGCGUAGGCGGUUUCUUACGUUCCACGUGAAAGCCCCUGGCUCAACCAGGGAGGGUCGUGGGAAACGGGGAAACUGGAGGCAGCGAGAGGCGAGUGGAAUUCCUGGUGUAGCGGUGAAAUGCGCAGAUAUCAGGAGGAACACCAAUUGCGAAGGCAGCUCGCUGGGACGUUACUGACGCUGAGACGCGAAAGCGUGGGGAGCAAACAGG
rnacentral:rRNA from 1 species